AUACGUAGGUGGCAAGCGUUAUCCGGAAUUAUUGGGCGUAAAGAGGGAGCAGGCGGCAGCAAGGGUCUGUGGUGAAAGCCUGAAGCUUAACUUCAGUAAGCCAUAGAAACCAGGCAGCUAGAGUGCAGGAGAGGAUCGUGGAAUUCCAUGUGUAGCGGUGAAAUGCGUAGAUAUAUGGAGGAACACCAGUGGCGAAGGCGACGAUCGGGCCUGCAACUGACGCUCAGUCCCGAAAGCGUGGGGAGCAAAUAGGAUUAGAUACCCUAGUAGUCCACGCCGUAAACGAUGAGUACUAAGUGUUGGAUGUCAAAGUUCAGUGCUGCAGUUAACGCAAUAAGUACUCCGCCUGAGUAGUACGUUCGCAAGAAUGAAACUCAAAUGAAUUGACGGGG
rnacentral:rRNA from 1 species